rnacentral:rRNA from 1 species
UAAACUAGGUUUAGAUACCCUAUUAUAAAAAAUAUAAAAUAAAUAUGCUAAAGUAGUAUCAGUUAUGUUCUUGAAAUUUAAAAAAUUUGGCGGUAUUUUAGUCUUUUCAGAGGAACCUGUUCUAUAAUUGAUAGUCCACGAUUAAUUGUACUUGAUUUUUUAGUUUGUAUAUCGUUGUAGUUGAAUGUCUUAGGAGAGUUAAAAUGUUCAUAAGUUAUUAUUUAAUGGAAAAAAUCAAAUCAAGAUACAGCUUAUAAUUAAGAAGUAAUGGGUUACAAUAAAUUUAUUUAUAUGGUUAUAAUAAUUAACAUUAUUUUAUAAAUUGGAUUUGAAAGUAAUAUAUUUAAAUUAAAGUAUAUGAUUUAAGCUCUAAAAUAUGUACAUAUUGCCCGUCGCUUCCAUUGAAAAUUUAAAGUGGAAUAAGUCGUAACAUAGUAGGUGUACCGGAAGGUGUACUUAGUUAGCAAAUUAUAGCUUAUAAUAAAGCAUUUUAUUUACAUUGAAAAGAUUAAUUGUAUAAACAAUUUAAUUUGAAUUUAAUAAUUUAUUUAUUUUAUGGGUAAAAUAAAAUGUUAAAUAAAAUAUUUUUUUAUUUGUUUAUUAGUUUAGAUUUAAUUAUUAUAAUUAUAGUAUAUUUAGUAUAGUGAUAGAUUAUUGAAAUAUAUGAAAUAUUUAAAUAUUUUAAAGAAAAAUUUAAUUUUUGUACCUUGUGUAUCAGGGUUUAUUAAAUAAUAAUUAUAUAAAUUAAUUUUCUCGAAUUUAAAAGAGUUAAAAAAUUAUAAAUUUUAUUGUGAAAUAAAUAUUUAAAAUAAUUUUUUAGUAAUGAAAUGUUAUUCGUUUUUAAAUUUAUCUAGUUUUUUAAGAAAUAAAUUUAAUUUAGUUAUUUAAUUUAAUUAAAAUAAUUUUUUAUUUUAUAUUAAUUAAUUAAUUAAUAUUUUAAGGGAUAAGCUUUAAGAUAAAAAUUUUAUAAAUUAAAAAUUUUUAAUAUUUUUAUAUUAAUAGAAUUAGAAAUUUUUUUUAUUAAUAGUAUGUUAUAAUAAAUAUAAAUAAAUUUAACUAAAUCUUAUAUAAUUUUAAAUUUUUUAUUAAGAUUAUUUAUUUAAUUUAAAAAUUAAUUUAAUAAUGAUAAAAUUAGUAUAAAUUUAAUGUAAUUUUAGUUUAGAUAAUAAAGGUUAAGUUAAGGAACUCGGCAAAUUUAUUUUUUCGCCCGUUUAUUAAAAACAUGUCUUUUUGAUAUUAAUUUAAAGUCUAACCUGCCCUAUGAAUAAGAUUUAAACGGCUGCCGUAUUUUGGCUGUGCAAAGGGAGCAUAAAAAUUAGGUUCUUAAUUAGGAACUGGUAUGAAUGGUUGGACGAGAAAAAAUCUGUCUCAAUUUAAUUUAAAUUAGAAUUUUAUAUUUAAGUCAGAAAGCUUAAAUAUACUUAAAAGACGAGAAGACCCCAUAGAGUUUUAUAUUAAGUAAUUUAUUUUAAAAAUUAAAGAAUUUUAAAAUUUAUUAUAUUAUUUUAGUAUUUAGUUGGGGCGAUUUUAAAAUUAAUAGAACUUUUUUUAUAUUUAAACCCUGAUGUAUGAGUUUUUGAUCCCCAUUUUAUGAUUAAAAGAUUAAAUUUCCCUAGGGAUAACACCGUUAUUUUUUUUUAGAGUUCUUAUCGAAAAAAAAGUUUGCGACCUCGAUGUUGGAUUAAAGUUAGCUUUUGGCU